GGAUCUUGAUUUUUCAUAUGCUGUUAUGCAGUGAUGCUAAUUCCAGGAUUCACAUCAAACUUGGACUUUUUCAUUGAUGCUUGUACUGAUGCUUGUUGCAUUAUCUUUGGAUCUGUCUUGUGCCAUGCUAUAUGUUCUUUUUCAUUGUUCUAAUGGGUUGAUAAAAUAGCAAAUGCAACAUAAGUAAUGAUGAAUCAUUUGGGUCGAGUGCUAAACAAAGACUGAGAGAUCGAGAAAUAUUUUUUUUCCUUACCUUGGGAUGCAGUCAACUGCUACAUAGACAUCUUUUACUUGCAAUGUCACUGAUCUAUCAUCCUGCUUUAACAUCAGGUUCCCUUCCCAAUCUAGGCUUCCACUACUGUCACCUGUGCCAGCCUCCUGAACAAGCAUUGCU
rnacentral:lncRNA from 1 species